GGGUCAGUAGGUUGGUCGUGCCACCGGUACGUACUGGUCUCACUGAUUCCUCCUUCCUGAAGAACCGUAAUGCCAUUAAUUUGGUGUUGCGGGGGAACAGGACUGUUACUUUGAAAAAAUUAGAGUGUUUAAAGCAAGCUAACGCUUGAAUACAUUAGCGUGGAAUAAUGAAAUAGGACGAUCGAUCCUAUUUUGUUGGUUUCUAGGAUUGACGUA
rnacentral:rRNA from 1 species